UUUCCCUUCUGGGGCUGGAAGAAGAUUUCUCUCUCCCGGCCCUUGUGGGGCUACAGCCAUGGUGUGCGUUUCUCUUCUCCCAUUGCUGAUGGUGUUGCUGAUGGGAUCCUCCGUGGUCCCUGGAGCUGGAGGAGGGAAGAAGCCCCCACCAGCCCCCCAUUUCCUGCACCAGCACAAGUCCGAGUGCCGCUUCAGCAACGGGACGCAGCAGGUGCGCUUCCUCGACAGGCACUUCUACGGGCGGCAGGAGAUCGUGCGCUUCGACAGCGCCCGCGGGGACUUCGAGGCCGUCACGCCGCUGGGGGAGCCCGACGCCCAGUACUUGAACAGCCAGGAGGAGAUUCUGCAGUACCAGCGGACCGGGGUGGAUCGCUUCUGCCGCCACAACUACGACAACAUCUACGGACCUUUUUCCCACCGGCGGCGGGUUCAGCCCUCCGUCUCCAUCUCCCCCACCAAGGAAGACCCCCUGUCCCCCCACACCCUCCUGCUCUGCACUGCAGCCAGUUUCUAUCCCCUGGAGAUCGAGAUCCAGUGGCUGAAGAACGGGCAGGAGCAGAAGGAAGGGGUCUUCUACGGGGAGGAGCUCCGGAACGGGGACUGGACCUACCAGACCCAGGUGAUGCUGGAGACGAAGCCGGAGCACGGAGACGUCUACACCUGCCAGGUGGAGCACGCCAGCCUGGAGGCCCCCAUCACCGUCCAGUGGGAGCCACGGAAGUCAGACUCUGCCAGGAGCAAAGUGUGGACGGGGGCCGUGGGGGCCGUGCUGGGCGUGGUCUUCGUGGCCGUGGGACUCUCCCUCUACCUGAAGAAGAAGAAAGCAGCACCCAUCCAACCACCUGCAGCCCUCAUCGGCUAGACCUUCCACCUCUGAGACCCAACAUGGAAAGAAACUCUUUGCAUAGCUACGUCUUUCCUUGGAAGAUGCUAAACUGAAGGGGGUGAAAAAGAAGAGACUCCCCAGCCUGUACUUCCUCCUCCUGCUGCGACGCCCCUGUUCCUGUUUCUCUUCAUUUGUUUCUGGUUUUUUCUUUUGGGGUGGGUGGGGAAUUCAUCAUGCCAAGUGCUGAGAAGAGCCUUCUCCUUCCCUGGAUUUCUGAUCAGGAGCAGAGAACUGCUCAGGGUCUCUUCCUCCCCUGGCAGGACCAUCACUCCCGGCUCCACUGUCUAAGUUAGUUCAUCCCUAACGGCAUCCUGAAUCCCUGAGACCCGCAAGCGGAUUCCGUUCUAAGCGGAUGGACUGAGAAUGAAAAACGCCUGUUGCCUGUUGCUUGAGUUGCAGGAAAUCACCAGGUUGAGCUGAAGGGCCCUGAAAACAAUCACACACACCCUUUUCAAGGAGGGGCCGUGUAUCUGUCCGGAUCCUCUGCGGAGAAUGCAGAAGGUCCCAGGUUGAACCUCCAGGAGAAGCUCCAGGCAGGGCCGGGCCAGGAGUUGGCGUUUUAUUGGCCUCCAGGUGUUUUCAGCUAUGAUUCGCACAAUCCCUGCCCCUGAUGGCUGGGGCUUAUGGGAGUUGUAGUCCAUCACAUCCGAAGGGCACCACAUCCCCUCCUCCCAGUGCAGACAGUGACCUAGACCGACCAGGGCCUGACUCUGUGGAAGGCAGCUUCCUAUGUGCUAUUGCAGCCUGCAGACCUCCCAGUGUGUUGGACUACAACUCCUAUCAUACCCAGCCAGAACAGCCAUUGGGCAUGAUGGGACUUGUAGCAUAGCACACCUUGAAGGCACCAAGUUGCAAAAGGGUAUGUUUUUGUUUCCAAAAUUCUGAUCAUUGACCCCUUUUCACUUUGAUUAGAGAGGAAUAGUUUUCAGUUUUCAUAUUAGAGGCAAACAUUCUAAUAAAACAAGAAUACUU